AUUGGAACACCGUAUUCCGUAUGAUCACCGAAAUUAAGCAACGUCGGGCCUCGUCAGUACCUAGAUGGGUGACCGUUUGAGAAUACCAGGUGCUGUAAG